rnacentral:rRNA from 1 species
GACGAACGCUGGCGGCGUGCCUAAUACAUGCAAGUAGAACGCUGAAGGAGGAGCUUGCUCUUCUGGAUGAGUUGCGAACGGGUGAGUAACGCGUAGGUAACCUGCCUGGUAGCGGGGGAUAACUAUUGGAAACGAUAGCUAAUACCGCAUAAGAGUAGAUGUUGCAUGACAUUUGCUUAAAAGGUGCAAUUGCAUCACUACCAGAUGGACCUGCGUUGUAUUAGCUAGUUGGUGGGGUAACGGCUCACCAAGGCGACGAUACAUAGCCGACCUGAGAGGGGGGUCGGCCACCCUGGGACUGAGACACGGCCCAGACUCCUACGGGAGGCAGCAGUAGGGAAUCGUCGGCAAUGGACGGAAGUCUGACCGAGCAACGCCGCGUGAGUGAAGAAGGUUGUCGGAUCGUAAAGCUCUGUUGUAAGAGAAGAACGAGUGUGAGAGUGGAAAGUUCACACUGUGACGGUAUCUUACCAGAAAGGGACGGCUAACUACGUG